AAUCACUUGUCUCUUAAAUAGAGACCUGUAUGAAUGGCUAGACGAGGGCUUAACUGUCUCCCCCCUUCGGUCAGUGAAAUUGAUCUAUCCGUGCAGAAGCGGGUAUAACUAUACAAGACGAGAAGACCCUUUGGAGCUUAAGGUACAAAAUUCAACCACGUUAAACGACUUCAUAGAAAGCAAGAACUUAGUGGCGAAUGAAAUUUUACCUUCGGUUGGGGCGACCACGGAGGAAAAAGAAGCCUCCGAGUGGACUGGGCUAAACCCUAAAGCCAAGAGAUACAUCUACAAGCCGCAGAACAUCUGACCAAUAAUGAUCCGACUGAAAAGCCGAUCAACGAACCAAGUUACCCUAGGGAUAACAGCGCAAUCCUCUCCCAGAGUCCAUAUCGACGAGGGGGUUUACGACCUCGAUGUUGGAUCAGGACAUCCUAAUGGUGCAGCCGCUAUUAAGGGUUCGUUUGUUCAACGAUUAAAGUCCUACGUGAUCUGAGUUCAG
rnacentral:rRNA from 1 species